GUUUUCCACUGAGGUCCAGGAGGUAAAGAGCACAGCAGUAUGGAGGGCCACUUGGUAACUAGGUCCCCUGUAGUUAGUUAUCCACUCUCCCGAGCUGUCCACACUGCACCUCUGGCAAUUUUUCCAUUACUGAAAACUGAGCUUUCUCUACCCAGGCACUGGUCCCUAGGGAAGCUGCUGCUCUGCUAAGUUGAGAUUCUCUGUAUUCUCCUGUCCUGCCAGUUCUGGGGCACUAGUUUGCCCUGUGUGACCUCAGUUCCCUUAGGGAUCCAAGAAAAGUUGUUCAUUUUUCAGGUUGUUCAGCUUUUAUCUAUUGUUAGGAUGCAGGAAAUUUCGAAGCUUGUUACAUGUUGGACCAGAAAUAUGAAGUCUUUUUCCUUAAUUGAGGUAAAACGCUCAUCACAAAAACUUAACUAUUAUAAAUUUAAUAAUUAAGUAGCAUUUCAUAUAUUCACAAUAUUGUACAACUACCACCUCUAUAUAGUUCCAAAAUUUUUUCAUCAUCUUAAAAGGAAACUCCAUACCAUUAAAUGGUCACUCCCUCCCCAGCCCCUGGCAACCAGUAAUCAAUUUUAUCACCAUGGAUUUAUUUAUGCAAGAUAUUUCAAGUAAAUAGAAUCAUUAAAUAUGUCACGUUUUUGUCUAGCAUCUUUAACUUAGCACAGUGUUUUAAAAAUUCAUCUACAGGAGUUCCCAUUGUAGCUCAACAGUAACAAACCUGGCUAGGGUCCAUGAGGAUGCAGUUCGAUCCCUGGCCUCACUAAGUGGGUUAAGGAUCUGGCGUUGCCAUGAGCUGUGCUGUAGGUCACAGAUGAGUCUCAGAUCCCACAUUGCUGCAGCUGUGGAGUAGGCUGGCAGCUGCAGCUCCAAUUCAACCUCUAGCCUGGGAACUUUCAUACGCCAAGGCUGUGGCCCUAAAGAGCAAAAAAAAAAAAAAAAAAAAAAAAAAAUUUACAUAAGAAAUAAAUAUUCAUCUACAUAGUAGCAUACAUCAAUACUUCAUUCCUUUUUAGGGUUGAAUACUAUUACAUUGUAUGGAUAUACCACAUUUUAUUCAUUCAUCAGGUGAUAAACAUUCUGUGCUUUUUCUGCUAUCCAGAACAGAAAUUCUAAAAUGUCCUCAGGGUCCAGUCCCCCUCACUAAGACCUCCCAGGCCCAACCACUGUGAUAUCAUGCAAUGCACAUUCUGAACAGACACUAGACAGACCACCUGCUCCAGCCCUUCCAAGUGAAGACAGUGACCUUCCUCAUAUCAGAGACAAGAAAUAUACAACAUUUAGUGACUGACAUUUUGGGGUUUAGUUGUCAGAUUUGAAAAAAAAGAGACAAAUAUAGAAUAUAGCCAGAAAGUGGUAGAAUUUUGUCUUGGGAAACAAGAAGGGGGGAGGGGGGAACAGGUAAAAAGGAGUUGCCUUUCAAUCAACUGUACCAUGAGCAGGAAUAAAGCUAAGUUGUAUAGUUUAUGUUACAUUCCCCCCAAACAGAAAUAAUCAUUCCCAUUAUACCAACAGGGUGAUUUCAGAAGUUCAGGAAGGCUUCUGAGAAAACUAGCCAGAGAAAUAAGUCCAUCUUUACCACCUGAUGUCUUCUUGCCCAUUGGGUUGUUUGUAAGAGUACUUCCCAGAGAAGAUGUGCAAAAUGAAGCAGACGCUGGAGUGAUACAGGGUCCUAAGCCAAGGAAUGUGGGCAGCCUCGAAGCUGGAAAGGUAAGAAAACAGAUUUCCCCUACAGCCUCUAGAAGGAGCACAGCCCUUGCCAACACCUUGAUUUUAGCUCAGUAAGACCUAGCUUGGACUUCUGACUUCCAAAAUGGAAGAUAGUAAGUCAGUAAGUCUGUGUCAUUUUAAGCCACUUAGCAUGCAAUAAUUUGUUACAGCGGUAACAAGAAACCAACAGAGUCAUCACAAAUACCCAGCAUUCCUGCAGUUUACCAACCAGCCACCCACAUGUGCUAAGGCUCUCUUGAGAAGUUGGUCGUUCUCCAGGGGGAUGGCAUCUGUGCCUUCUUGACACGAUGUGCUGUCUGCAAGCAAGAGAGCAGACCAACACACACAAAGCAAAGACCAGGACAAAAAGCAAGAGCACACACAUGUGUGCAUGCACAUACAGAAACCGGGACUUAGAAGGAAAAAUUGACCCUGAAGUUUGCUACCACUGGAAUCAGGGGGCGUCGGGGACUUUAAGGAUCACAAAUUUUGCAUGUCUGCCCUAAAACAUUUCACAGCACUGGCAAAUCAGAUGGGCCCUGGUGAAAGGAUUUAACAGGCAACUACCCUGGGUGGUAAAGCUCAGAAAUGAACUUUCAAUUCUCCUAAUUUUCCAGUUAAAUGAAUCCAAUUCUCUCCACCAAGAGGAGAGAACUCCCCCAAACUAAGAAAACUCCCUUUUCCACAUAACAACUGAUAUGCUAAAGAUAAAACGAGGCUACAUGAUGGCUUCGUUACCCUUGUUGCAAUCCAUCUGCCAAAUUUUGUUUAACAAGUAGGAUAAAUUCAAGAGAAAUAAAUAGUUUUCUGCAAACCCUCAUGUCCACACAGGUAUACUUUAAAUGAGCUAUGCUUGACAUAAAGCGCGCGCGCACACACACACACACACACACACUUACUUUCUCAAUUUCCUGGCAAUGUACUCCUGCUUAAAUACACAAUCAUGAAGCACAGAGAGAGAUGCAAAUCAUUCUUCCUCCUCCUCACUCCCUCUUAACUCCCCCCCUCCUCCCCUUCCCUCUGAGUCUUGUUCCUCUGGGAACUCAGACCCAAACCAAUCCUGCUCCUUACCAGCUGCCAGCUCCUAAGAACCCUCAAAACUCGCCCUCACAACUGUCAUCCUCUUAAAACAGCACAUAAAUCAGCAACAAAAACUCACUCAACUUCAAACCAGCCCAUUCCAACAUUAAUAGUGCCUUUGUUGUCAAUAAACCUAUAUUUGACUUCUCCUAUUUUUAUGUGGAUUUUAUUUAUAAAUUACUAAUGCUUUUCCUGGAGCAAAAUGGUCAGAGUAAUAGUCUGCACUGUAUUCCAACAGCUACAAAAGACAAAAAAAAAAAAAAUACAGUUCAAACUGAGUCAAUAAGAGAGAA
rnacentral:lncRNA from 1 species